rnacentral:rRNA from 1 species
UAUGUGAUCGUCUCUCGCAUAUCAAUAAGCGGAGGAAAAGAAACUAACAAGGAUUCCCUUAGUAACGGCGAGUGAAGCGGGAAGAGCUCAAAUUUGAAAUCUUCAAGGUUUUACCUUGACGAAUUGUAGUUUAAAGAAGUGUUUUCUGCUCGAAGGUUUUGGUAAAAGUUCUUUGGAAUAGGACAUCAUAGAGGGUGAGAAUCCCGUAUUUGACCAUUACUUUCAGCUUUGCUGAUACACUUUCAAAGAGUCGGAUUGUUUGGGAAUGCAGUCCAAAAUGGGUGGUAAAUUUCAUCUAAAGCUAAAUAUUGGCGAGAGACCGAUAGCGAACAAGUACCGUGAGGGAAAGAUGAAAAGAACUUUGAAAAGAGAGUUAAACAGUACGUGAAAUUGUCAAAAGGGAAGCGUUUGACACCAGUGUUGUUUCUCUGAAAAUCAAUUAAAGAACUGUUUAUGCUAAGUUGUUUAGACUUUAUCAGCUAACUGUUUAGUUUUGAGCUUUUCUUUAAUGCACUUUUCAGUUAACAAGUCAACAUCAAUUUCUUUUGCUGUAAAAAAGCUUGAGGAAGGUGGCUUGAGAUUCGUCUUAAGUGUUUAUAGCCUCUUGCCUAUGCAGUCGGAGAGAUUGAGGUCUGCAGCGUAGAUCCUUCGGGGCUAAAUGCAUUUGUGCUAAGUUAUAGCAUUUUAUAGACAACUUGUUGACUAUGAUUUGUCUUGUAGCUUACUCGCUUAUGUUAUUUUACCUACGCUUAGGAUGUUGAGUCAUCACACAUCUCU